CCUACGGGAGGCAGCAGUAAGGAAUCUUCCGCAAUGGGCGAAAGCCUGACGGAGCGACGCCGCGUGUGGGAUGAAGUCUCUCGGGAUGUAAACCACUGUCGGAGGGGAAGAGAACGGACGGUACCCUCCAAGAAAGCCCCGGCUAACUACGUGCCAGCAGCCGCGGUAAU
rnacentral:rRNA from 1 species